GAGAAAUGGCAGAGCGGUCGAAUGCACCGGUCUUGAAAACCGGCGUACCGAGAGGUACCGGGGGUUCGAAUCCCUCUUUCUCC
rnacentral:tRNA from 1 species